GGCUGGAGCUCAGUGCUAGAGCGCUUGCCUACCAGAUGCACGACAAUGGGUUCAAUCCCCAGCACAGCCA
rnacentral:tRNA from 1 species